AUCUAUAUAAUAUAAUUAGUAUGUUUGACUUCCAAUCAUAAAGUCUACUCUUCAGUAGUAUAGAUA
rnacentral:tRNA from 1 species